rnacentral:rRNA from 1 species
GAUGAACGCUGGCGGCGUGCCUAAUACAUGCAAGUCGAGCGAACGGACGAGAAGCUUGCUUCUCUGAUGUUAGCGGCGGACGGGUGAGUAACACGUGGAGAACCUACCUAUAAGACUGGGAUAACUUCGGGAAACCGGAGCUAAUACCGGAUAAUAUUUUGAACCGCAUGGUUCAAAAGUGAAAGACGGUCUUGCUGUCACUUAUAGAUGGAUCCGCGCUGCAUUAGCUAGUUGGUAAGGUAACGGCUUACCAAGGCAACGAUGCAUAGCCGACCUGAGAGGGUGAUAGGCCACACUGGAACUGAGACACGGUCCAGACUCCUACGGGAGGCAGCAGUAGGGAAUCUUCCGCAAUGGGCGAAAGCCUGACGGAGCAACGCCGCGUGAGUGAUGAAGGUCUUCGGAUCGUAAAACUCUGUUAUUAGGGAAGAACAUAUGUGUAAGUAACUGUGCACAUCUUGACGGUACCUAAUCAGAAAGCCACGGCUAACUACGUG